rnacentral:rRNA from 1 species
AACGAACGCUGGCGGCAUGCCUAACACAUGCAAGUCGAACGAGACCUUCGGGUCUAGUGGCGCACGGGUGCGUAACGCGUGGGAACCUGCCCGUAGGUUCGGAAUAACUCCCCGAAAGGGGUGCUAAUACCGGAUAAUGUCUUCGGACCAAAGAUUUAUCGACUUUGGAUGGGCCCGCGUUGGAUUAGCUAGUUGGUAGGGUAAAAGCCUACCAAGGCGACGAUCCAUAGCUGGUCUGAGAGGAUGAUCAGCCACACUGGGACUGAGACACGGCCCAGACUCCUACGGGAGGCAGCAGUGGGGAAUAUUGGACAAUGGGCGAAAGCCUGAUCCAGCAAUGCCGCGUGAGUGAUGAAGGCCUUAGGGUUGUAAAGCUCUUUUACCCGGGAUGAUAAUGACAGUACCGGGAGAAUAAGCUCCGGCUAACUCCGUG